CUUAACCCACUGAGCAGCAAGUCUUGCUGCCGUAUACACCAACUGUUCCAGUAUGUUCUUUUUCUACAAUACAUUGCAAAGCAGCUGUUUCUGGAAAGUCGGCUCGGGUCCUGCUAGCUCCACCUUGAGAACACUGGGAGUAUGGGCUUACAGCAGAAGAGGAAAGUGGUGAGGUCACCAGCCGAGGAGUGGAUGGGGAGAAGAGAGAACGGAAACUCAUUGAGAAAUACAUUGUGUCAGCUGGGAAACCGGACAGGGUCAUUGGCCACCAGGCCACGAGGACAAAGGGAGCAGAAUCGAUGAACAGGAUUUCAGAUGGCCGGAAAAGAAAAAAGGCAGGAAGUAACACAACAAGCUCAGAAGAAAGUCUCGCCAACAGAUGGAAUGAAAUGGAAGAGAAAAUGUCAAGUCUUGAAGACAAAGUAGAAAAAUGGAUCGAUCAUCCAAAGACUAUGUGAACUAUAAAUUAAAAAUCUAGGCAUUCAGGGAAUCUGGGACAGUAUGAAGAGACCAAAUCUAUGAAUAAUUGAUAUAGAGGAAGGAGAAGAAACUCAAGUGAAAGCCACAGAAAAUAUCUUUUAACAAAAAUCAUAGAAUAAAAAAUUUCAAAUCUAAAGA